rnacentral:rRNA from 1 species
AGUGAACGCUGGCGGUAGGCCUAACACAUGCAAGUCGAACGGCAGCACAGUAAGAGCUUGCUCUUACGGGUGGCGAGUGGCGGGUGGGUGAGGAAUACAUCGGAAUCUACUUUUUCGUGGGGGUGAACGAAGGGAACCUUACGCUAAUAGCGCAUAGGACCUGGGGGUGAGAGGGGGGGAUCUGCGGCGGUUAGGGGUGUGAUUGAGGCGUGGGAGGUUUUGGGAGUGGGGGGGGUAAAGGCCCACCAAGGCGAGGAGCCGUAGCUGGUGUGGGAGGGUGGUCGGCCACAGUGGAACGGAGACACGGUCGAGACUCCUACGGGAGGCAGAAGUGUGGAAUAUUGGACAAUGGGCGCAAGCGUGCUCCAGCCAUACCGCGUGUGUGAAGAAGGCGUUCGGGUGGUAAAGCCCUUUUGGUGGGAAAGAAAAGCAGCAGGUGAAUACCCCGCUGUUCUGACGGUACCCAAAGAAUAAGCACCGGCUAACUUCGUG